ACUUAAAUUGAAGAGUUUGAUCAUGGCUCAGAUUGAACGCUGGCGGCAGGCCUAACACAUGCAAGUCGAGCGGUAGCACAGAGAGCUUGCUCUCGGGUGACGAGCGGCGGACGGGUGAGUAAUGUCUGGGAAACUGCCUGAUGGAGGGGGAUAACUACUGGAAACGGUAGCUAAUACCGCAUAACGUCGCAAGACCAAAGUGGGGGACCUUCGGGCCUCAUGCCAUCAGAUGUGCCCAGAUGGGAUUAGCUAGUAGGUGGGGUAACGGCUCACCUAGGCGACGAUCCCUAGCUGGUCUGAGAGGAUGACCAGCCACACUGGAACUGAGACACGGUCCAGA
rnacentral:rRNA from 1 species